rnacentral:rRNA from 1 species
AGAGUUUGAUCAUGGCUCAGGAUGAACGCUAGCUACAGGCUUAACACAUGCAAGUCGAGGGGAAACGACAUCGAAAGCUUGCUUUUGAUGGGCGUCGACCGGCGCACGGGUGAGUAACGCGUAUCCAACCUGCCCACCACUUGGGGAUAACCUUGCGAAAGUAAGACUAAUACCCAAUGACGUCUCUAGAAGACAUCUGAAAGAGAUUAAAGAUUUAUCGGUGAUGGAUGGGGAUGCGUCUGAUUAGCUUGUUGGCGGGGUAACGCCACAAGGCGACGAUCAGUAGGGUUCUGAGAGGACGUCCCCANAUUGGAACUGACGACACGGUCCAAACUCCGUACGGGAGCA